GAUGAACGCUGGCGGCGUGCCUAAUACAUGCAAGUCGAGCGAACAGACGAGGAGCUUGCUCCUCUGACGUUAGCGGCGGACGGGUGAGUAACACGUGGAUAACCUACCUAUAAGACUGGGAUAACUUCGGGAAACCGGAGCUAAUACCGGAUAAUAUAUUGAACCGCAUGGUUCAAUAGUGAAAGACGGUUUUGCUGUCACUUAUAGAUGGAUCCGCGCCGCAUUAGCUAGUUGGUAAGGUAACGGCUUACCAAGGCGACGAUGCGUGGCCGACCUGAGAGGGUGAUCGGCCACACUGGAACUGAGACACGGUCCAGACUCCUACAGGAGGCAGCAGUAGGGAAUCUUCCGCAAUGGGCGAAAGCCUGACGGAGCAACGCCGCGUGAGUGAUGAAGGUCUUCGGAUCGUAAAACUCUGUUAUUAGGGAAGAACAAAUGUGUAAGUAACUAUGCACGUCUUGACGGUACCUAAUCAGAAAGCCACGGCUAACUACGUG
rnacentral:rRNA from 1 species